GACGAACGCUGGCGGCGGGCUUAACACAUGCAAGUCGAACGGAAAGGCCCUGCUUUUGUGGGGUGCUCGAGUGGCGAACGGGUGAGUAACACGUGAGUAACCUGCCCUUGACUUUGGGAUAACUUCAGGAAACUGGGGCUAAUCCCGGAUAGGAGCUCCUGCUGCAUGGUGGGGGUUGGAAAGUUUCGGCGGGUGGGGAUGGACGCGCGGCUUAUCAGCUUGUUGGUGGGGUAGUGGCUUACCAAGGCUUUGACGGGUAGCCGGCCUGAGAGGGUGACCGGCCACAUUGGGACUGAGAUACGGCCCAGACUCCUAUGGGAGGCAGCAGUGGGGAAUAUUGCACAAUGGGCGGAAGCCUGAUGCAGCAACGCCGCGUGCGGGAUGACGGCCUUCGGGUUGUAAACCGCUUUCGCCUGUGACGAAGCGUGAGUGACGGUAAUGGGUAAAGAAGCACCGGCUAACUACGUG
rnacentral:rRNA from 1 species